UGACCAAACUAGAAUGUUUUCAGUGAGUACUUUUACAGCUUUUUCCUUACAAAUGUAUAUAAUGUGCAGAAAUGGGUUGCAGUCUUUUUAAGGUUAUGUCUUCAUAGGAGGGUUAACUGGAGCUCUGUACACUCAAACUGACUCCUUUGGAGUCAGUAUACUCUGCGUGUGAGUGACCACACCAUGAAAUAAUAUGGGAGCAGCAGAGAGUGAUUGUGUUGGCAACAGACAAAUUGUACUAACUUGAACUCGAGCUUUCCCUAUCUAAGGUUAAAGCACUACAGCAGCUUAAGAUCCUUGUGAGUGCAAGGAAAGGGAAUUCAGAAGGGGUGGGGAUAUUCACGCUUUAUUUCAAGUUAACUUUUAAGUAGAGACUAGCUUUAGGGCAUGAGUUCACAUCCACAGCCCAAACUGGUGAAUGCAGAGAAAAGCAAAGAGGAAGUAAAAACCGAAAGUGUGCCAUGCUGUCAUUUUUGCUUGUCUGAUGCAUACAUUGAAUGAUUUUUUCCUUUGGAUGAAUACUAGCUUGCAUAAAAUUCAAAUAACUCAGCUGUCUACAGAUGGGGGGAGGGAGUGUGGGAAGAAGAACAGAAGGAAGGAAAUGGAACUGAGAAGAUUGAAUUAACCUUUCAAUGUCUUGAAUUUCAAGAAAGGAAGAAUUAUCUCCUCUUAAGUCUGCAAGCAUGCAAUUAAAAUGUGAACAAGCCUUAAAAGCCACAUUUGCCCCAUAUUCCUAGAUCUCUAGUUUAAAGACAGAUCUUACAAAACAAAGGUUCAGAUACAGGAGGCAGGGAAAAAAAUUAUUAUCCUUUGAACAUCUAUUUUAAUCACAGAACUCUGGUAGAAAAAUGAGUAUAAAUGUCUGACAUUUACAUGGAACAUGUGCCUUUGAUAUUGAAGUUUCAAAACAUCCUUAUGUAUGUGUUUAGUAAUGGCAGACAAUCCUCAAGAAGGUGAAUGGUUUUCUCUGUGUUGGUUUCUGUUUCCAUGAAAUGGAUUUUUUCAGGUAUCUGCUUGAGCAUUGUGAAGCUUCAUUUGUUAAUGCAGGGCAAAGCUUUAGAAAGGACUUUGAUUCUUAAGUGCUCUGCUGGACUUUGUGAGUCAGAAGAAUUAGAUACCUGCUGAUUCAGGAGCCUCCAUGAAGAGUUAUGGAUGUCCAACGUGGCCAACGGUCUUGUGCUGGGCAUCCUGAAAUAAAGUAUUUGUUAGAAAACUUUAUAAUGCUGGAAAAGACUCAGUUUGGGGCUCAUCCCUGUUUCUGGAUGAAAUAUGCAGGAAGGAAAAGCAUUUUACAGAGCAGCUAGCUGGAAAUUGUUACUGUUUUGUUAGUUCUUUGGUAUUGAAAGGACUCAUGCUUGUCAAUACUUUUCCAAGGUAUCAAUAGGAUCCAUUUAAGACACAAAUUGAGCACUUCCAAGUCCAGGAUAGUAUGUCAAAUAAUUUGCUUGUAAAUGAAAAAUUAAACCCAAAAGUAAAUACUUUGCUGACAUAGGGAUAAUUUUCCCACAAAAUAAAAGCUGCUGGCACACAAUAUACAGGUAUUACAGCAGACGGUGUCUUGCUUUGAUUUCCAUUUCCUUCUAGUAAGAUAAUGACCCAGCAUGAAGGCAAAGAAUUGCAUGGCAGGAUACCAGCUUUCAAAGGAUCAGGAGGCAUUGCAAAAUUGAUUCAAAUUCUGGAGUAUUCUAGCUUAGUUUCUACUAAGCCUUGUACAGCAGUGAGCACAGUUGGGAUAGGGAUAUUUUACUUUAAUUGGCUUCAUUUUCUGAUGAGGGCUGUUGCUGGAAUUAGACUUAAGUGGAGAUGCAAAUGUUCAGAGAAUAUUUAUUCUAAGGUUGUACUAAGUCAGGACUUAUACUGGGGAUCCAUGAUGGAAAUAUGUCUUCAGUUCUUCUGCAACAAAUACUGGUAAUCAUCACUUGUGGUCAUGAAUAGCUCUUCCUGAAAACAAGGGAUUUUUUUAUUAGUAAUCAUCUCAGAUCUACCAAGUUGCUUUGUAGAAUCUCUGUAAAACUUUUAGGCUAAGCAACUUGGCUUUGUAAGAUUACAAACAGAGCUAUAGAAAUGGCUCACCCUUCAUGGUGUGGCUCUGGAUAUGGAUUUACUGAUGAGACAGGGAGGCCAUGGCACUCUGGCUCCUUGGUCCUAGGAGCCAGGGGCAUCUGCCAAGCUCCUGCAGCUGUGCAGCAGCUGGGGAAUGGUUCCCUCUACUUGUGAGCAGCCUCACACUGGGGCCUUGUCACUGUGCAGGGCAGUGCAUUGCCAUAUGUCCUGACAUGUGGAUGACAGUCCUAUGUCAUGUGGUGGGACUGCAGCCAUGCACUGCAUGUACUGUGGAUGCUCUGCAUGUGCCUGUGUGUUCAGAGGGGGAAAUGAGCCUGUGUGAGCUCCAUGCUGUCUUGGCUAGCCUGCUGAAACUGGGCUGGGUGUCUGCCUGCAUGUCGUGUAAGCAGGAAGUUACAAAAUGCUACCAUAAAAUUUGACCUGUGCCCUGAUAAACACAAGAGGACAGAUCCCACAUUGCUCAGUGAUCUGAAAAGCAGACACCUUUGAUUAGCUGUAUUUUGGGAGUGUAACCACACAGCCACUCAUUAAGUCAUUGCCUCCCUUCUCUCUGUAUUUACUGUCUUAGAAAAGGUGUCUAAAGCAUCAGGACUCCCAGUGCCUGCCUACCUGCCUGCCUCUGCUGUCUGUCUCCUCCCGCUGCAUGUGUUUUGUAUGUCAGGUUUCUUGCCGUUUUACUCCUGUCAACCGGCCAACGUAUCUGCUGAAGAGCCAGCUGGAGUCCGCGCUCUCCCGUGUUUCAUCAACAGGAUUGUCAGCUUGUUCUGAUUCAGUAUCUUUAUUGCUGUUGAUGAGGCUAAACGAAUCAGAAAGAACACAGCUAUGUAUACAAAAUACAAAUUCGGAAACCUCAGCUUGAUGCGAGGAAAUGUCAUUAGCUCUUCAAGUGGAGAAAUCUGCUGUGGGAGCAGACUGGCUGCAAGUACAGACCUCCCGAGAGCUCUGUAUCCCCUGACCCUCCCCGUUUUAUUGUCUUUGUACAGCACCUCCUAAUGAUACCACAUCUUCUAAUAGGGAAAUAUAGGUUUAGAUCUGAUUAAAACCUAAUCUACUGUGGGAUUCUGAUUCUCCCUUCUUUGGAUUCUAAAUGUAAAACCUCUUAAUGAGUGUUAAGUAUGUCUAGAUAAAUUUUAGAAUCCAUGCUGGGAAACCUGAAGCGAACCCCUUGCAGCUAUUGGCACUACUUGCAUUUCCAUUAAUCCCAUCCUACGUCUUGUUGGUUUUUUUUUCCUGUCACAUAUUGUCAGUUUUCCACGGGGGG